GUCCAUCAUAAUGAGGAAUCACAGAGAACAUUAGCCGAACACAUUUGAGAUGAAGCUAAUAUCUAAAAUUCUUGCUUUGGCUAUUUUCAUGGUCCUCCCAUGUGUUCAGACAGCUUUUCACUCGAUCGUCACCUUUUACACUCAAGUACUGGGCAGGAUUUCUUUGCUUUAACUGAAGUGGAUGGGCAAAAGGUGUUUUACAAUGACAGUAAAAUUAAGAAACUGACACACAAGCAGGAGUGGGUAAAGAAGCUUAUGUCUGACGAGCGCUGGAACAAGGAAAUACAAAACAGAAAAAAUGCACGAGAUAUGUGAAAAAACAUGAAGCGUCACCUUGAUUCAAAACAAGGAAGACACAAUUUUCAGAGGACGUAUGGCUGUAAGUGGAACGAUGAGACUGAAGAUGUUGAGGCAUUCGACUCGGUUACAAUGGGGAGGAUUUCAUCUCACUGGACAUGCAAAAGAAGGAAUACAUAGCCUUUUCUUUUUCCCUCUAAUUUAUAUGCAACUGGACAAAGAUGUGAAUUACAGUUACAAGUUGCAAUGAACGUCUCAUUGUGAUCUGUCAAAAAGUCGAACUGUCUUCAGAUUUUUCUGGUCAAUGACUGUAGGAGCCAUCUUGCUGUUUCCCCACUAGGUGGCGUAGGGUGACCUUAUAUAUGAAGGCCAAAGAGUAAUUGGCGUCAGG